rnacentral:lncRNA from 1 species
CCUGGCUCCAGCCCUUGCCUGGAGGUUCUAGAAUGUUCCAGAACAAUGAACAAUGGCACUGCCCAUCCUCAGCUGGGGUAAAGCUGGGGCUCAAGGAACUGGGGUCCAGAAGGCAUCUCCAGCAGGCGAUGGGCAGAGAAAGCAGGGCUUCUGUUGUGAGGGGACAGCACCCCCAACCUGGCCCUCAACAGCCUUCACAAGUUUGUGGUUCCAAAAGCAGUUUUAUUUUUCUUCUUGUAAAUCAUGACCAGUGAGAAAUAAUGUGUGCCCCACCCCCCACCAGUGAAGAAGCUGUGCGUGAGUAUCCCACCCGCUCUGGGACCCAGAAAUCCCAUCCCUUCCCAUCUCCUCCCCCACUGUCCCAAACUCUUCGUCUCCUCUCUCUGCCCUGGGCGGCCUUGGGCCUUCCCCAGCUAUCUCCUAGCAACAGGUCCAUGGUUGCCUCAGCAACCAAGAGUUCCAUACAGGCCUCAGAGGAGAAAUUUUGGGAAGUACAGGAGACACCGAAAGAAAAGAAAAGGCAGAACUUCCUGGGUGUGUGCAGAAUUGGGUCGAAGCUGUCAGAUUCGCUGGGUUGGAGGCACAGGUGGAGCACACCCAGUAAGGUUUGGGGCUCACCCCG